rnacentral:tRNA from 1 species
CCGACCUUAGCUCAGUUGGUAGAGCGGAGGACUGUAGUAUGUGCAGAUUAUCCUUAGGUCGCUGGUUCGAAUCCGGCAGGUCGGA